rnacentral:SRP_RNA from 1 species
CUUGGGGAAGUAGGUAAAGAAUAGAUGCUAAAUCUGUCAGGUCCGAAAGGAAGCAGCAGGAGUGUUGAUUUCUUGUAGCUACUUCCCCAUUUUU